CAGUAGCCGCGGUAAUACGUAGGGUGCAAGCGUUAAUCGGAAUUACUGGGCGUAAAGCGUGCGCAGGCGGUUUUGUAAGACAGAGGUGAAAUCCCCGGGCUCAACCUGGGAACUGCCUUUGUGACUGCAAGGCUAGAGUACGGCAGAGGGGGAUGGAAUUCCGCGUGUAGCAGUGAAAUGCGUAGAUAUGCGGAGGAACACCGAUGGCGAAGGCAAUCCCCUGGGCCUGUACUGACGCUCAUGCACGAAAGCGUGGGGAGCAAACAGGAUUAGAUACCCCCAGUAGUCCCUGUCUCUUAUA
rnacentral:rRNA from 1 species